rnacentral:misc_RNA from 1 species
AACGCAUAUUGCGCCCUUUGGCAUUCCGAGGGGCAUGCCUGUUCGAGCGUCAUGAUCAAAACUCUCAAGCUUAGCUUGGGGUAUUGGGUUUUCGCCUCCCUCCUAUCUUUGUAUAGGCAGGUGGCGUACCUGAAAGUUAGUGGUGGUGCCUCAAUAGACUCAAGUGAAGCAGACUGACUCACUUUUGAGAACUUUUGUGGUUCUGUCGACAAACAAAAUUGAAGGUUGACCUCGGAUCAGGUAGGGAUACCCGCUGAACUUAA